GCGCCCAGCUGACGCGGGGCUGGAGGCUCACAGUCAGGACCCGAGCUCUCGGGGACUAAAUCAUCCUAGUUUAAACGCACCCUCUGCCAGGGCUCCAGUUGGGAGCUCCUUGCCAUUGCUCUAAACACAUCCUAGGGGUUCCUGCCUCCCCCUCAGCACGCCUGUAACCCUAAGGUAGCCGAGCGGUGGGGGUUCGAGGCUCCCUCCCUCCUUUUGCCCUUCACGAGAGCGCUUUUCUGGGCGCACAAGUGUGUGUGUGAGGAGCGGAGAGGAGCACCGAGAGGGUAAGUGAAUCCCUUACUUCAGCCGGGGUGGGCAGGAGGAGACCUCUCACGUCACCCGAGGAUCAGAGGGCUCCUUCGUCGCGCCGAAGGUGGGAUCCCGAGCGGCCUCUUCAGCCUGCAGCGAGCUGGGGGAGCCUCUCGGGGAUGCGACCGCCUUGGAAAAGCCCCCUCCAUGGCUAGGCACCCUGCCACCUCCGCGCGUGUGUACUUCUGAGAUUGGGACAAUAGCUGGAGUGGAUUAUGCAUUCCCGUAGGCGAGACUUCCCUAUAUGAGCUUCAGGAUGCAGUUGGAAGCUCGGGAACAAAGCGGGCAUCGAAUGUCAAGAAAAAAUAGUUCUGCUGAGCCCCCAGGUCUGGACUUUGGGGAGCGUGGCACAGUGGUCUGAUAUAAAAGCACUGUCUCUGUGGGUAGAAACUCUCCUGUGUACCAUGAGGCUUGCAAGAAAGGCAGCGAGGGGACAUUUGGAGUAACCAUGCAUCUGGCAUCAAGCGACAAUUCACUUCACGCUACCGCAGAGGAGUUUGUUCCCAAACCAAAUACUUUGUGGUGCUCAGUGCUGGUGUCAAAUUGGUUUGAACUGUCCCAAGUCUAAAAUAAAGACUUCCACUGUGGUAUACCAGUGAGCUUUCCUUGCUAAAACUUCCCUGCUUGUGCUGAAGGUAUAGAGCUGAUGUAAUACCGUCUUUUCCCUCCACGGAUGGGCGCAAUAGGAAAAGUUCAGAAAAGUUCUGUUUAUCUUUUUUCUCCUUGUAGUUGAAGAAAUGCAAGCUAUCAGAAACAAGCCUAAGUUUGAAGGUACAGUUUUCAACAUGUGAGUUGGAAACAUAUGCACUGGCACUAUUCAACCGAUCUGUAAGGGCUGUGCUCGAAUUUUGGCUUUUAAUCUCAACUCUGUUAGAGAGAGAUGCAAAAUGGAAUGGAAUCUGAUUAUUUAUGCUGUAGCCUUGUGAUACAUAUCCUAUAACCAUUGGAGAGAGAAGCAAAACACUUUGCUAAAACUUUGGGUGAACCUGAGUUUCAAGGGGAUUCUAGUCUUCACAGGUUCUUACUUCACUGCCUUUCUUCCCUUAGUAUUUGUUAUGUGGGAUUUUUUUCUGCUGUUCUACGUUUUAAAGUGAGUAGAGACUAAAUCCUGCUGAGAGAGUGAGCUCCCUCCACCACAGACUCACGUUUGGAAAAUGCCUUCCCCUUUUGACUGCCCCCCUUCAAAUCAUCCUCUCCCUUUCAGGGCAGAAAAGAAAACUUUAAAAGAGAAAGAGAGAAGUGGGAGUGGGGAGGACAGGGGAACCCCUGAUUCCUCAGUGAUCUGCACAGCUCCGACAGACCUACAAGUUCCCCUUCACCUCUGCCAGACAAGUCCCGUCGGAGAAAAAACCCCAUGCCUGAACUUUUAGCGUGGCUUGGGGUUUAUACAAUUCUGGCUCCAUUUCAGAAAUCUCGAAAGGGGGAAAAAAAAUAACAAACACCAAA